ensembl:lncRNA
AAAAGCUCACUGUUUGAGGAAAUACAUGAGGAUGAAACGGUACUUCAAGCCUCAACAGACUGGUCGACCCGAAAGAGCCUCAUAUCAGGGUGGUGGGAGAAAGAGAGACCCCGACUGGUCAACACCAUGGUGGCUCGACAACAUGCGGCAACUCGGAUCUGCCAACAUUGUGGAAAUGGUCCAGCCGUAAUCCGUUGUUGUGACUGCCGACCACACCCAUUCCUCUGUGGCCAGUGUGAUGUCAGGGUCCACCGAGGUCAAGUGUUCCACAACAGGGAUUCGAUGACACAUGCAUUCUUUCAUCCAUUGCCUCCCACAACUUGUGUUGUGGAGAGGGUUCUAACCCAGUGUGAGCGUCUUGUACCUUUGGAGAUGCCAGAGACAAUAUGCAGUUGUCUACGAGUAUCGUCCAGUGUCAUCGCAGGACAGUCCAUAGUUGUGGUUACAAUGAAUGGGCGAUAUGAUCUCAGAUUGCCUCAGAUUAGAGGCAAAGCAUGUGAAGCCACUUGGAGUCCUGGAGUGGAUGACCUGAUCCGUAAUGACUACUGGCCUGCCACUUCUCACUAUUCAACUGUGUAUGCAACAGAUGUCCUUUUUUCUUUUGAAGAGCUGAAGAUGGCAGCACCAGGGAUGUCUAGCCAAGCAUUUCUUAGAAUGCUGGAUCAACGCACUGUUCGCUUUGGCCGUAGCGGAAACAUCACAGCAGACAGCUUCCGGAAAAGCUUUUUUUGGGAGUGGGAAGCUGUCCGAUUCGAAGUGGACAAAUUAUGCCAGGAGGACCACUUUGACUGCCCAGCGUGCAGCCCAGACAUGCUUGCAGUAUCCGUUGAUGGAAACCGUAAGCACUACAGAUUCAAGAGUGCAGCAAUAUCGGAGGAAAAAGCCAUCUUUGAUGGCGUGUUCAUCGCAAAUGAUGAUGAUGUAGCAAGAUUCGUUGACUAUGUCCAUACCUCAACCAGUCAUGUCUCUGGAAGAGGUGUCUGUGGAGGGCAAUGGUCAGCGGCGCGUGAAACGUCUCAGAAGUCCUCAGGAAAAACAGACGAGGAGGGCCUGGAGCUCGCUGUAUGUCGUCAUGGGGUUCUCCUUCGUGCCCUCAAUAUGUUCAGGGGGGAGAUUUUUGCCUACCCCCUGUACCUCCAAAAGCAAAUGGCCUGUAAGCCAGUUAAAUUUUUUGCAAUGGAUGUGGCAUGCAAGUACUGGCCUUACCUCCAGAGAGUGACAGAGAAAUGCCCUGAGCUUGAGGAUCUCCUCACCAUGAGGCCAUUUCUUUCUGUUUUUCAUGCCAAAGCUCAUGAUUUCAAAUGUGAGGUAAAAUGGAGUGGAGCAUAUCAGGAGGGGGCUGGUUCGACUCUUGGGGAAGAGGUGGAGCAGUGCAACGCCUUCCUCUCGAGGAUUGCUGUUACGACAAAGCACAUGUCAAAAGCAGGACGCAUAGACAUGCUGACGAUCAUGGCCAUGCGCUGGAACCAACAAAAGUUUGACAACUUGGCUUCUACCCUUGCCCGCCGAUAUCGGAAGGCCACAAUAGCCCUGCAAUGCCAGUUGCAUAACCUGGAGGCCAUGAAAACGGAAAUGGACGUCUCAGACAAUCAACUGGAGAGGUGGAUCAUUGAUAUCAAUGAGUGGGCAGAAGCAACAACAUCCCGAAAUGAUGCUGAUGUUGCCGCUGUUGCCAGCCGAAUUGAGGAGCUGGUGGCAAGUGUUAAGAGGAGGUCCCAGCGUCUUUACAAGGAUAGUGACGGAUGCAAAGGACGUGCCCGAAUCCGCCGAAAGAUCAGGGAGGAAAAAAAAAUCUUAAAUUCUGUAGUGGAAAAGUAUAACACCUUGGUUCCUAAUGCAGAAAAACUGACAUUGGACACCAUUCUAUCUGAUGAGAUUGUUUGGCCAUGGCAGCUUACACACGGUGACUCUGUAGAUCUAAGGACAAAGAGGAAGGCGUUCGACAUUGUGAUGGCAGUAAGGAGACUUGAGGAGGAGAAGAGGAUUCUUAUUGCAGAGAUGAACAAGCAUUGGAAGUCUCUUUGCUCCCGUGCAGACACCCUGAAGCAGAUGUCAUCCCAGCUUUCUAAUGUGACAUCAGGUGAGACGUGGGGCCUGCUUCAAGAUGGUAUCCGAGGUCUACAGAGCUUGACGAUGAAGAACAAGCAAGCAAGCAACAGCCUGGCAAAGCAUGCAAAGAAAUAUUAUGUUCAAGUUCUGACUGAAACAGAAAUUAACUUUGAUAGUGAUUCUGAGGAAUACCAUACCAGUAGUGACUCUGAGCAAGAUUAAACAUGGCCAGAGUCCUUUUUUAUGCUGUUGUGUGCUGGGGAGGCAGCAUUAAGAAGAGGGCCGCUGGGACAGGUUGGUAAGGAAAGCUGGCUCUGUGUUUGGCAUGGAGCUGGAGUUAAUCAUUUAACAAACUGAGGAUAAUUUGCAGUAGCAGUCUUCUGUCAUGCUCAACAUUGAGGAGGUCCUUUGUCCCCAGGGCAUACCAGCAACUCAAUGUCACAGAAAAGGUUAGGGGAGAAAUGGACUUUUCAGCAUGAGUCUCACCCUGCGCCAACCAUUACAUCGCUUUGUCUAUUGUCUAGUAUCCACUAUCCAUUUGACUGUCUUACAGGCUACAUUAGCCCCUCUACACAUUCUGGACUGUGGUUUCAACAUUUACCCCUGUUGGCUUGUAUAAUCUUUUCUCUUUUUUAUAUAUAUAUAUUUAAGUUUCUGUUUUUCUAUCUAUUUUAACUUCCUUGUAUUGUUUUUGUUAAGCAAUACUAUUAUGCUCAGACUCUUUUUUCCAUAGUCAUAUUAAACAUGCACAGCUUUGCACUGAUUAAAUCCCUGCACUGUUUACUUUUGCACUACCACCACUGCAAAUCACUCUAUAGCUGCCCAUCAUGUAUCACAGGGUCAGUCCCUACCAGGCCUUUGUAAUCACUUGACAUGCUCUUCACUUUUUACAUUUGUGAUUUUUGUUAUGUGUCUGAGCUGUGUGUUGUUUUUGUGGUUGUAUAAGCUAAUAAAUGCCUAAAAUGUGGUGUGUCGUCUUAAGUAGCCUACAGUGUCUGUACUAGGGGGAAGAAGACAUUUCAUCAUGACAGUUUCCUCCAUCUACUAGAGACAUCUUACAUGGAUACACAGAUAACAUUUAUUCACGAGAUCAUAUGGUUUAUAUGUAUUUCUUUUAAUGUUAUUAUUUCUGUCUUAUUGCCAGGGAAGCUGGAUUGCUUUGUUUAUUGAUAUUUUUAAAACUACAAUGCUACAUCUAUCAACAUUUAUUUAGAUGUUAUCAUGGUAUUCAUUA